AGUCGGUGGCUGUUAGAAUGACGGUCGGACUUCCUUCCAAGCACCACAAGAUGUGGUCAACACAUCUAAGCUCAAAGCAUGCUCCACAGUAGCAGAUUUCCACUCUUCAUCCUUAGCCGCAAAGAUGUUGGGUGUUGGCAAAAGAACCAUGUAGACUAUCAUAGCUAUAAAUGCAGCCAUUUCAUUCAGAAGAGUACAAGGCCUUGAAGAAGAAGAAUCCUGAGAGGGCUCAAAAUGAGCUAUUCGUUCACAUUAGUGGCGCGUUUAACGAGGCAGAGGAAAAGACACGCACAUUGUUCAUCAGCCUCCUCCUGUUCUUUAUCUUCCUGU